GUCCCUCCAUUGAUGGAGUUAGACAGCAUUAAACAUCUUUAUCUCCAGAUUAAUAUUAAAGUUCCUCUGCUAAUUAUCCCCACAGUGUCUCCAGUUCUGUGUACCAGUCUGAGUUUCGAUGUGUUAUUGUGACUGUUGGAAUCAAACCACCACCAACAUCUCAUGUUACUGUUCUGAAAAUGAAGAUCUCAACAACCAUGGCUCUGGAAGACAAUUGUGACAGUGUCACAGAAGCAAUCAAAAAAGAACUGAUCAAACGAGGUUUGCCACCAGAUAUAAAUGUUCGCCUGAAGGUUUCAAAGAAGACGCCCUCUAGUGGCUAAACAUGAGAACAGAUAAAAUCCUGGCAGGAAUAUUCUUUGACUUCAGGGAUUUGGG